rnacentral:tRNA from 1 species
AGUACUAUACUUUAAAUAAAAAGGUUAGAUUUGCGUUCUUAUAAUGGGAAUUAUUUCUCUAGUGCUG